AAUCAACGCUGGCGGCGUGCCUCAGACAUGCAAGUCGAACGCGAAAGUCCCCUUCGGGGGAUGAUUAGAGUGGCGCACGGGUGAGUAACACGUAGGUAAUCUACCUUCGAGUGGGGAAUAACUCAGGGAAACUUGAGCUAAUACCGCAUAAUGCAGCGGCACCACAUGGUGACAGUUGUUAAAGCAUUUAUGCGCUUGAAGAGGAGCCUGCGGCGGAUAGCUAGUUGGUAAGGUAAUGGCUUACCAAGGCUACGAUCUGUAACCGGCCUGAGAGGGCGGACGGUCACACUGACACUGAAUAACGGGUCAGACUCCUACGGGAGGCAGCAGGUCGGG
rnacentral:rRNA from 1 species